UAGGGAAUCUUCCGCAAUGGACGCAAGUCUGACGGAGCAACGCCGCGUGAGUGAAGAAGGAUUUCGGUUCGUAAAACUCUGUUGUUAGAGAAGAACAGCGCAUAGAGUAACUGUUAUGCGUGUGACGGUAUCUAACCAGAAAGCCACGGCUAACUACGUGCCAGCAGCCGCGGUAAUACGUAGGUGGCAAGCGUUGUCCAGAUUUAUUGGGCGUAAAGCGAGCGCAGGCGGUCAAUUAAGUCUGAUGUGAAAGCCCCCGGCUCAACCGGGGAGGGUCAUUGGAAACUGGUUGACUUGAGUGCAGAAGAGGAGAGUGGAAUUCCAUGUGUAGCGGUGAAAUGCGUAGAUAUAUGGAGGAACACCAGUGGCGAAGGCGACUCUCUGGUCUGUAACUGACGCUGAGGCUCGAAAGCGUGGGUAGCAAACAGG
rnacentral:rRNA from 1 species